rnacentral:rRNA from 1 species
GAUGAACGCUGGCGGCGUGCCUAAUACAUGCAAGUCGAACGCUGGAAAUCUAGCUUGCUCGAUUGAAGGAGUGGCGAACGGGUGAGUAAUACAUAAGCAACCUACCCACGAAGACUGGGAUAAUCUCUGGAAACGGGGACUAAUACCGGAUAGGUAAUCGGAGGCAUCUUCUGAUUAUUAAAGGUUAAAAACACUGGUGGAUGGGCUUAUGGCGCAUUAGUUAGUUGGUGAGGUAACGGCCCACCAAGACGAUGAUGCGUAGCCGGCCUGAGAGGGUGAACGGCCACAUUGGGACUGAGACACGGCCCAGACUCCUACGGGAGGCAGCAGUAGGGAAUUUUCGGCAAUGGGGGAAACCCUGACCGAGCAACGCCGCGUGAGUGAUGACGGCCUUCGGGUUGUAAAGCUCUGUUGUAAGGGAAGAACGGUAGAUAGAGAAUAUCUAAAUGACGGUACCUUACCAGAAAGCCACGGCUAACUACGUG